rnacentral:rRNA from 1 species
CGAGAGGUCUCGAGCGUUGUUCGGAUUCAUUGGGCGUAAAGGGUGCGUAGGUGGCGAUGUAAGUCUGGUGUGAAAUCUCGGAGCUCAACUCCGAAAUUACACCGGAUACUGCGUUGCUUGAGGAUUGUAGAGGAGAGUGGAAUUCACGGUGUAGCAGUGAAAUGCGUAGAUAUCGUGAGGAAGACCAGUUGCGAAGGCGACUCUCUGGGCAACUCCUGACACUGAGGCACGAAGGCUAGGGGAGCAAACGGGAUUAGAUACCCCGGUAGUCCUAGCAGUAAACGGUGCACGUUUGGUGUGGGCGGGUUCAGACCCCCGUCCGUGCCGGAGCUAACGCGUUAAACGUGCCGCCUGGGAAGUACGGUCGCAAGAUUA